rnacentral:rRNA from 1 species
GUCGGCCUACGGGGGGCAGCAGUGAGGAAUAUUGGUCAAUGGGCGCUAGCCUGAACCAGCCAAGUAGCGUGAAGGAUGACUGCCCUAUGGGUUGUAAACUUCUUUUAUAUGGGAAUAAAGUGCAGUAUGUAUACUGCUCUGCAUGUACCUUAUGAAUAAGGAUCGGCUAACUCCGUGCCAGCAGCCGCGGUAAUCCGGAGGAUCCGUGCGUUAUCCGGAUUUAUUGGGUUUAAAG